rnacentral:rRNA from 1 species
UACGGAGGGGGCUAGCGUUGUCCGAAGUUACUGGGCGUAAAGCGCGCGUAGGCGGGUUGGUAAGUCCGCUGUGAAAACCCGAGGCUUAACUUCGGAGGUGCAUUUGAAACUGGGGAACUAGAGUGCAGGAGAGGUAAGUGGAAUUCCUAGUGUAGCGGUGAAAUGCGUAGAUAUUAGGAGGAACACCAGUGGCGAAGGCGACUUACUGGACUGUAACUGACGCUGAGGCGCGAAAGCGUGGGGAGCAAACAGG